rnacentral:lncRNA from 1 species
UUAAUUCGGUGUGCCUAUUUCCAAUCAACAAGCUACAACCGUUAGAUGUUCGUAAACCAGAUGGGAACUUUAAAUCUCACAAUCCCAUAAAGUCUGGAACCCAUGAGCUAUCAAACCAUCCCAUGAUUGAUGUAAAAAAAACCAUCCCACGAUUGAUGUAAGAAAUAUCCCACGAUCAAUCCAGAAAAAAAUCCCACGAUCAGUUAAAAAAACAUCCCACAAUUAUAAUCUCACGGCCCCAAUAGGUUGAGCGACUAGACCAUCCCACAAUUUACAAUCUCAUGACCCCAACAGGUUGAGCGAUUAGACCAUCCCACAAUAGAAACCUCAUGAUCCCAACAGGUUUGACCAUCCAUGAGCCGUCAGACCAUCCCACAAUAAAAAGAACAGGCACAAAAAAAAAGUUCAGAGAUGCAAUCUCUUCAAACUCUCACAGUAAUGUAUAGAGAUUUGAUUGCCCAAACCAGAGCAAUUACGCCUCAAGGGUUAAUUUUCCUCUAGACUAGAUGAUAUACCUUGUACAUCAUCUUCCUCCCGUGAACGACACUUCAAAGUCAACUUCCUCCAACAAGUGGCACUUUGGCAUUGUCUUCCUCCAGCGGACACCAGCUGGCUCCAUCGAGCAAUCAGACCACCUCAAGUAAGUACCAACUGCACGAAAUUAAUCAGGCCUAUUAAGGAUCAAUAAUACUUCAAUUAUACUCUAGGAAGUGCUCAUCUAACAACAUCUGACAUGUUUGAUCGGAAGGUUAAUUAUAUUGAAAUAGAAAAACUAUCAUGUGUAUUCUAGAUUAAGUAAUGCAAUUCUAUAGGUGUGGGUUCAUGUCUUAAUGGUGAUGCCAUGGAUGUUGGUUCCCGUGUAUUCAUGUUAAGAUAAUAUACUCUAGAAGACUAGAACCACAUUGCAGGUAUAACAGACAAAAAUGGGAUUGCUUGCUGCGAUAUAGAGAAACACAUGUGGUGCAUUAGAUGGUUUUCAUAUUCGACCAACCUCAAAUUCGAUAGUGGGUUUCUGUCUUAAUGCCACAGCUCCAUUCUGAAACAAAAGAUCAAAUCAAUAGUCAAAAAAUAUAUUCAUUCAUAAUAUGGUUUCAUAUAUCUAUUCCAGUUAAAAAAAUCUUAAAUUUACUUUGUGAUCACAUAAUCACUAGAGGCCAUUGCAAAAUAAAAUUGUGCAUUUAUAAAGCUGUCAUGUCGUUAUAUACUUACUUUACUAAUCAACAUUUUGUUCUUAUAUUUUUAGGGCCUCAAGGAGUAUGGCACCCAAACCGCUGAAUUCAUUGACUACACGAAACGAGUCAUGGACCAUCAAAGUCAAAGUCUCAAAGUCUUACAACUUUAGGACACAAUUAACUUAUCAACUAAUGAACUCAUUAGCACUGAUAAGAUUUUGUGAGAUAAAAAGGUCCAAGUAUUACAUAUAUAAUGUCUCUUCAGUUUUCCUUUUCCGAAGCUUGCUAAUGUUCUCUCUGUGUAGGGCAAUGCAAUCCAUGCUUCUAUUGGGAACAAACUGUCAAUAAAUUUAAAGCAAAAAAUAAAGAGGACUCCAUCUACAUAAUUAAGACCUUGAAAGUUUGAGAGUAUGAGAACUACCGACCAUUGAAGAACAAUAUCAAAAUCAGUUUUCCUUUUUGAUACAACAGGGAUGGAAGUGGAUAAAGAAAAAUCAAAGUUUUUGGACUAAGACUUCGAAUUUUUCUUAUAGUGAUACCUUGGAGAGUAGGGUGAAUACUGAUAAACAGUGCUCAGGUAUGACCAGACUCCAAUACCAAAGAACAAGCAUUGAUCAAUUAGAUUUAUAAACAUGAUUUGAUUAGUACAAUGGAACCAAUAGAGCGGGUACAAAAAAAGGGAUGAGCAUUCGUCGAACUUCAAACAUCCGUGAGAUUGGAUUUGUUAAUUUAAAAUGUGGAAAAGAUGGUGUGGCUAUCAGUGUAUGUAUGUGUGAAUUAAGCAUGGCAGUGGGAAGCAUAUUUAGUAUCAAAUGUGGCCAUCGGGAUCCUUGUCAGUAGUUAAUGAUGAUAAUUAGUGCUGGCAGGCAUGGUUGACAUGGACAACCUAAUGGGAGACCUGUUAUCAGGUAAACCAAUACAAAAGGAGCAACUCAAGAUGCUGAACUUGGUUCAUUGUUCAGGGAUGGUUACCACUAAUAAAUACUAAAAUGUGCUUCAUGAAAUGUGGAAUUAUUUGAUUCCAGCAGAUAAAAGAGAUCAAAAACAUCUUUCCAGUUCAUAUUUACGCCUUUCCUCGAUAUGGCAUCCGAUUUGGACCAUUCUUUAUAGCACUGUGAUGAACUGAUGAUAGGUCUCUAUGCUUUAUAAUGUUGUGAUGAUAGGUCUCUAUACUGUUAUGAUAGAGCUAAAGGAAAUUACUCUGAACAGAACAUCCACCAAUCCAAUGGAACUGAUAUAUUACCAGGAUAUAUUCUUGUCAUCUCUUUUUUAUCAUUCUAGCUACCACACAUCUCUGAUACAUGACAAGUAUGAUGGAAAUCUGAGAUUAGAUUAGCAUGUACGUACACUUCCCUGACCAAAAUUCAGUUAAUUAUGAGAGAAUGAAAUUCAAUGUUGAUUUGCCAUAUACAAACACGAUGUUUGCUUACAAAAGGAAAGGAGCAAUUGCAGAGUCGCGAAAAGGAAAAAUUCUAAAAGAUAAAGAUGGUAAUAUGACAGAGUCGCUAAAAGAAAAAAUGGGGACCUGCAGUUCGAAUUGAAGAAUGUUGCCGCAGUAGAGGAUGUGAAUGAUGUGUUGAGCUGCCUCGCGCAGAAAUAGCGGUGAUGCGUUUGGUUUGCACGCUUGGGGAAGAAAAUGUCUCAAGCUCCCUCAUACUGAAGCUGGAUCCAAGAGGUUCCGGGCCUGCAGGAGAUGAAAUCCGUGACAAAAUCACUGCACAUACGCCAUCAUAAAUCUAGCCCCAUUUA